CUUUCUGAAAAAUUAACAAAUAUUUUCUGGUUUUUAUGUUAAAAUAACAAAUCUGUUUAUCAAUAUCAAGAAUUUACGGCAAAUCAAACAUUACGCCACAGCACACCGUUGGCUUUUGCUGGAGAGAGAGAGAGAGGCCAGAGCUCAUCCAUCUCGCCAUAACAAAGGUGAGAGGCCAGAGCUCAUCCACCUCGCCAUAACAAAGACAAUCAAUCAUGUUACCAAGGUUCGACCCAACAAACACAGAAGCUUGCUUGUCUCUUCUUGAAGAUGUGACCACAAACGUAAAGCAGAUUCAAGAUUCCCUCUUGGAAGCAAUACUUUCACGUAACGCUCAAACCGAGUACCUUAGAGGAUUCCUCAACGGUCAAGUCGAUAAGCAAAGCUUCAAGAAGAACCUGCCCGUUGUGACCUACGAAGAUAUUAGGCCUUAUAUCGACCGUAUCGCUAAUAAUGGAGAGCCGUCAAAUGUCAUCUGUGAUCGACCCAUCAGUGUACUUUUGACCAGCUCGGGUACUUCAGGAGGAGUUCCAAAGUUGAUUCCUUUGACAACAGAGGAUUUGAAACAGAGGUUAUCGUUUGCAUCUCUCUACAGACCUCUACUCUACAAGCACAUCGAGGGGAUUAGAGAAGGGAAAUCUCUCAUGUUUUAUUUUGUAACCCGAGAAAGCGAGACUGCCUCUGGGAUACUGGUCAGGACUAUGCUAACUUGUGUUUUGAAAAGCAUUGAGCCAGCCAACUCAUAUAUCUGGGAUCAAUCACAGGUAAGCCCGCAUACAAUUACGACUUGUGCAGACACUACUCAGAGCAUGUACUGCCAGUUGCUUUGUGGGCUUCUACAACGAGAUGAUGUAGGUCGUCUCGGUGCACCCUUUGCUUCUUCCUUCCUCAAAGUAAUAAAGUUCUUGGAAGAUCACUGGCCUGAGUUAUGCUCAAACAUAAGGACUGCCCGUCUCAGUGAUUGGAUCACAGACCCCCAGUGUAUAUCAGGGAUGGGCAAGUUCCUCACAGCUCCAAAUCCGGAACUUGCGAGCCUGAUCGAGCAAGAAUGCAGUAAAACUUCAUGGGAGGCAAUAGUGACAAGACUAUGGCCAAAAGCAAAAUGCAUUGAAGCCGUAGUUACAGGCACCAUGGCACAGUACAUUCCGUUAGUGGAAUUUUAUAGCGGUGGUCUUCCUGUGAUCUCAACGUUUUACGGCAGCUCUGAAUGUUUCAUCGGUCUCAAUCUCAAUCCUCUGUGUAAGCCUUGUGAUGUGUCGUACACCAUUAUGCCAUAUAUGGGGUACUUCGAGUUCUUGGAGGUCGAGAAAGACCAUCAAGAAACUGGUCAUGAUCCCGUGGAGAAGAACCAUGUGGUCGUCGAUCUUGUCGAUGUUAAAGUCGACCAUGAUUAUGAACCUGUUGUCACAACUUUUUCUGGUCUGUAUAGGUACCGUGUUGGCGAUGUUUUAAGGGUGACUGGUUUCUACAACAAUACGCCAAGUUUUCGUUUCGUUGGAAGACAGAAAGUUGUUCUAAGCAUCGACAUGGACAAGACCUACGAAGAAGACCUCCUUAAGGCAGUGGCAAACGCGAAGCUCUUGCUUGAGCCACAUGGCUUGAUGCUCAUGGAUUUCACUAGCCGUGUAGAUUCUUCCUCGUUUCCAGGACACUACGUACUCUACUGGGAACUCGGGAGCAAAGUCAAGGACGCGAAGCUUGAGCCCGACCCGAAUGUUAUGGAGGAAUGCUGCUUCACCAUUGAGGAGUCACUCGACGCUGUGUACAGAAAAGGACGAAAGAAUGAUAAGAACAUUGGACCACUUGAGAUUAAGGUGAUUAAUCCUGGUGCUUUCGACGAGCUCAUGAGUUUGUUCUUGUCUCGAGGCUCUUCUGUGAGUCAGUACAAGACGCCGAGGUCGGUGACGAAUGAAGAAGCCUUGAAGAUAUUGGAAGCGAACGUCGUUUCCAAGUUUUUUAGCCGGAAAACUCCAUCGUGGGAGCUACAUGAGCUGUACUCCAACCGAUAAAUCAGUCAAAAGCAGCAAGCAAGCAUGUUGCCAAAGCUCGAUCCAACAAACCAAAAAGCUUGUCUGUCUCUUCUUGAGGAUGUGACCACCAACGUAAAGCAGAUUCAAGAUUACGUCUUGGAGGCAAUACUUUCACGUAAUGCUCAAACCGAGUAUCUUAGAGGUUUCCUCAACGGUCAACUCGAUAAGGAAAGCUUCAAGAAGAACCUACCCGUUGUGACCUACGAAGAUAUCAGGUCUUAUAUUGAUCGUAUCGCCAAUGGAGAGCCGUCUGAUCUCAUCUGUGAUCGACCCAUCAGUGUACUCUUGGCCAGCUCGGGUACUUCAGGAGGAGUUCCAAAGUUGAUUCCUUUGACAA